AAUCAGGCCACUUACAUGGGUGCCUAUCUUUAGAUACCCUCGGUUUGAAAAACCUGGCAUUACCGGCUGAGAAGUACUAUUAAAAUAUAAAAGGAAUUCCAAUGCAACUCUGUAUAGGGCUCUUGAGAAUAAUGUUAUGCUAUAAACUCAUGAUGCUACAGCAAUUUGGAUUGAAGACUGAGAGUCCUUUAAAUAUAGCAAAAUAAAAAUUCAACGUAAAGCUUUACUGCUGCUAAAAAAAAGCAGAAAUUGAGUAUCUCAGCAGCUUGCAAGAGGUACGCAGCAAUUUGCAGGAUUGGGUUCAUAUAUCACAUCAAUCUGGUAAAAUAUUCAAUGAAAAAGGAGCCCAAUCCUGCAGGUUUUAUAGCUGGGAUAAUCUUACUGAUGUCAAUGGGAUUAGUCAGGAGUAAGGGCUGUAGGACUGGUUCCCCAAUGUACUCCAGUAGAAACCAACUCACAAGAAUGAAGCAGAGUGGGCACCAAUGAAAGGCUGUGUUCGCUCUGGGAGCGAUGUUCCUUCUUAUCUCCUUCUGAUGAUGACUGAGCAGAGAAAGUCUUGACUAUUCUGCUGGAGUAAGUAGUCUAGAGGUUCGAUCUCUUUGAAGAAAAAUGAACUUAGGAGUUCAGUGUUGAGCUGCAGCUCACAGGAGCACUCAUCAAAACUGACUUUUCAGGCUUGCUGGGAUCUUUUGUCUCCAGCUCUGAAGAGCCCUCAUUUGAGAGCUCCUGUAGAGAAAAGCUGAGGUGGGCCUUUCUCACUUUCUGUGUCCUUUUGUAGAAAGAGCAACACAUGGAGCAUCUCUCAGGGAUGGGUCUCCUGCUGAGGUGAAAGAGGCAUCUAGAGUGCCCAUCGUUGAUCAGGAUAGUAGCCUCACAAAAGUUUUAAAUCUCAGGGAUUUUAUUUCAGCAAGAGUGGCUAGUGGCCUGGUACCAUGGGUACCUGGUACCCCUAAACUUUUCUAAUUUUUAUUUAUUCUUUGUACAUAUUUAUUUACUGCCAAUGGGUGGAACCAAAGAACUAGUAACUAUACUGUGAGGAUCUGGGGAAUCUGUUUGAUGUUAUGAACUACGUGUAUGUUUAUGCCCUUAUGGGCUGCCUGUACUGUAGUCUUGCAUCACACUUCUUGUGUUAAGGAGAGGGAGUGUGGCCAGCCUCAGAAUGAAUGGCCAUUAAGUACCAUCAACAACUGAAUAAGCCUUGCCCUAGCAGAACAAUGGGGUGGCUGCAGUCUGUCUAGAUCCAACCAGUUAUCUCCAACUUGUCUGCAGAGGAGCAGAGAAAGAAAAAACAAAAACAAAAAACAAGAGAAGGAACAAUGAACCCAAGAUGUUAGUACUAGGUUUUAAGAACAUAAAGUCUGGGAGGGUCAGAAACACAAAUAGAAUUUAGGGCAGGAGUGAGAGCAGACUCCAUGAUCUGGACAUGAACACAGUUGGAGGAGUAAUGUUCAAAAGAGACAUGAGAUCCUGAAAGGACACUGAUCAAAUCUCAAAGAAUGCUCAAGACUGAUGAGGAGACUGAGGUAAGCCUGUCUUUUAACAGCUUUUAACAGCCCGGUCAGCAAGAGCCGCCAGAGUCCCUUUUCAACCGGGUGUUCCAGUUGAAAACCGAAUGUCUGGCAACCCUAGACCAGACCAAGGGAGCAGAAAAUCUCACAGAUCUAGUGCUUGGAUCCAAACACAGCAGCGUGUUAUUCUCCUCACCACGCCUUGUGACCUUAUUGAAAUGAACUGUGACUGUAUACAUCAUUGUUGCAACCAGAGUCCUAUGGUUGCACCAGGUCUUGUACAAAGGAGGUCAACUGGGGUGUCUAUGGAAAGGCUGUAGUUUGCUGAUUAUGAUUAUGCUGUCUG